rnacentral:rRNA from 1 species
UACGUAGGGGGCAAGCGUUGUCCGGAUUUACUGGGCGUAAAGCGCGUGUAGGCGGCCACGCAGGUCCGUUGUGAAAACUGGAGGCUCAACUUCCAGACGUCGACGGAAACCGUGUGGCUAGAGUCCGGAAGAGGAGAGUGGAAUUUCUGGUGUAGCGGUGAAAUGCGCAGAUAUCAGGAAGAACACCAAUGGCGAAGGCAGCUCUCUGGGACGGUACUGACGCUGAGACGCGAAAGCGUGGGGAGCCAAAGGG